rnacentral:rRNA from 1 species
UCCUUGCACACGGGUUUUAGUCAGGCAACGAGCGAGACCCGCACUCCUAAUUGCCAGCAGCAGUUUCGACUGGCUGGGUACAUUAGGAGGACUGCCAGUGCCAAACUGGAGGAAGGAACGGGCAACGGUAGGUCAGUAUGCCCCGAAUGAGCUGGGCUACACGCGGGCUACAAUGGUCGAGACAAUGGGAAGCCACCUCGAGAGAGGGCGCUAAUCUCCGAAACUCGAUCGUAGUUCGGAUUGUGGGCUGAAACUCGCCCACA